GCCUCUAUCCCGCAAUUAUCUUCUCAGAGCAGCGCACCUCAGUACUCCUCUUAUGGUGGAUAUCAGGGUACAAGCAAAAAGAUUGAAAUUCCAAAUGGAAGGGUUGGUGUUAUCAUUGGAAAAGCCGGGGAAACUAUUAGGUAUAUCCAACUUCAAUCAGGAGCAAAGAUUCAAGUCACAAGAGACCAUGAAGCUGAACCUGGUGCACUGACAAGGCAAGUUGAGCUUUCUGGCAAAC